UACGAAGGGGGCUAGCGUUGCUCGGAAUCACUGGGCGUAAAGCGCACGUAGGCGGAUCUUUAAGUCAGGGGUGAAAUCCCAAGGCUCAACCUUGGAACUGCCUUUGAUACUGGGGAUCUCGAGUCCGGAAGAGGUGAGUGGAACUGCGAGUGUAGAGGUGAAAUUCGUAGAUAUUAGGAAGAACACCAGUGGCGAAGGCGGCUCACUGGUCCGGUACUGACGCUGAGGUGCGAAAGCGUGGGGAGCAAACAGG
rnacentral:rRNA from 1 species